rnacentral:lncRNA from 1 species
GGAAUCAUUGGUUAUAGCAAAAAGAUAAAUGUUGAAUACUAGGGAUAAGUUAACUUACCUUGGCAGUAUGCUUAGCAGGGAUGUUCACAUAAAUGAUAAGACUGAUGCAUACAUUGCCAGAGCUUAGUGUUUGGGAGGAUCUGAAAGAAAAGGUGGAAGAGAAGUACUAAGUUGCCUACUAAACUGAAGGUCUUAAGAGCCAUUGUGCUGACCUCAUUGUAGGCCUGUGAAAUAUGGACAGUCUCUCAGCAUCAUACCAGGAAAUUUACUAAUUUCCAUUUGAUUUGUCUUCAGGAGAUUCUGAAAAUCACCUGGAAAGAAACUGAUGUCCUUUUUUAUGAUGAACUGCCAAGGAUUCAGCUGUAGUGAGCACAGCUCUGAUGAGAAGACCAAGUUGUUUGAAUGCCAAAAUCUGCUUACCUAAAAGUCUGUUUUAUGGAGAAUUCAAGUAAGAUAAGUUGUUACUUGAAAUUCAACUACUCAGGUCUUGUGUCUUAAGGAUUUUGUGCAAGGUCUUCCUGUGUCCUGUCCCAGAGCAUCUUCAAAGGGAGCCAGUAUGCACUUCAUGGAAGGCAGAUUGCCACAUGCAGAGCCUCAUUUGGAUGUAUCUGGAGUCUUGGAAGCUUGUUUGCCCUAUGUUCUCCUACAAAUGGACCUUGGGAGCUCAUUCUAGUAGAGCAGUAGAGCUACCUGUAUACCCUUGACUGAAGAAUGGGGGUGGGGGAGGUGGUCUUCUUUGACCAAGCAUGCAGUGUUGGGAGGGAUGCACAUGGAGAGAUGAGGGAGGAGUGGGCCAACCACCUAGACAUCCAGAUCAGGUGAAGCAACCCUGGAGAGAUCAAUAGGCUGACAUGCCGCAGGCAAAACAUAGCUUAAAUGCCCUCCAUGAAAGCCUUCUCUUUUCUCCUAGCUGGAAAUGUUCUCCCAUCUUCUGUAUUUGGAGUU